UUCUUUUAAGAGAAGGAUUGCUUUUCUGAGAAAAAAGAAACAUUGCCAUUGACCAAUAAUGUAACUCUACGCAGAUCACAAUUUUUACCGUUAGAUUAGAUUUAAUCCAACGGACCAAAUGUAAUUUUAUUCUCUGCCUUUUUUCUCUCCUCUAUUUUUUUUUCUUUCGACAUCUCAUUGGUUCCCAUCUCAUCUCAGGUAAAAAAAACUGUAAUCUUUUCUGCAUCUCUCCACAGGUUUCUCUGUAAAUCUCCUCUCAAUCCCGAGCUCUUCUACUGAUUCGAAGUGUUACUCACAGAUCUCUAGUCUCGAGACUCACUCUACUCACUCAGAGAACCAGAUCCGUGUCAAGUUUGAAGCGGUUGAGUUUGAAGCCUCGAUUUCGUGUCCUACAUACCUUGUAAACGUUCGAAGCGGUUGAGUUGUUGUUUAAAAUUUCAGACUUUAUCUUGUUGGAUUAUUCUGAGUUCUCAUAUGAAUGGCUUAUGUUUCUUAUUUUUCUUUGGUGGUAGCUUUAUGGAGAGAUUGAUACUGGAAGAAAGCAGAGGAAGAGGACGACGUUAGCGGCUGGGACAUUAGAUGAAACUGGAGUCGAGCAAGAUAGAAGAGAGGAGAUGGAAGAGGCGACAUGAUAAGCUUGAUGGAGUUGGUUCAGAGACAAUGGUGAAGUUACAGGUGGCUUUUCAUAACUCAUUGGAAGCCGAGCAAGAAGAAUAAGAAGAAGAGAAAGACGGAGAAGGAGAGUAGACAGACGCAAGGAGGAGAAUGGAGUAGGAAGUUGACGACAGCGUAGACUAGGAUUAGGUUUUGGUUUAGUUAGGUUUUGGUUAAUCUGUUUAGAUUAGUUUUUGGUUUAAUGUAUUCUGGUUUAUUAGAUUUUCUUAUCCUGGUUUAGUUUUAUAUUUGUAAUUUAAUGUUAAUUAAUAAAUAAAAUUUAUUUUUAGUUAACAA